AGGGUUUGAUCCUGGCUCAGAGUGAACGCUGGCGGCGUGGAUUAGGCAUGCAAGUCGAGCGAUCCUUGUUGCUGAUGGAGAUUGAAGCUUCGGCUGAUUUUUCCUGAUGCAACGCGGGAUAGCGGCAAACCGGUGAGUAAUACGUGGGUAACGUACCUUGAGGAGGGGCAUAGCUCCGUGAAAACGGGGGUAAUUCCCCAUGGUCCUUUAGAUCUGGAGUGAUCUUUAGGUAAAGAUGGCUUCUACUUGUAAGCUAUCACCUUAAGAGCGACCCGCGUCCUAUCAGGUUGUUGGUAAGGUAACGGCCUACCAAGCCGAAGACGGGUAGCUGGUCUAAGAGGAUGGUCAGCCACAUCGGGACUGAGACACUGCCCGGACUCCUACGGAGGCUGCAGUCGAGAAUCUUUCUCAAUGGGCGAAAGCCUGAAGAUGCGACGUCGCGUGGGGGAUGAAGGUUUUCGGAUUGUAAACCCCUUUUAUCUUGGAGGAAAGCUGCUCGGUGAAUAAUCGUGUAGUUUGACUGUACUUGAUGAAUAAGCCACGGCUAACUCCGUGCCAGCAGCCGCGGUAAUACAGAGGUGGCAAGCGUUACUCGGAAUGACUGGGUGUAAAGGGUCUGUAGGCGGUUAGAUAAGUGAAAGGUGAAAUCCUUCCGCUCAACGGGAGAACUGCCUUUCAAACUAUCUUACUUGAGGUUGGAAGAGGAAAGCGGAACUGCUAGUGUAAAGGUGAAAUUUGUGGAUAUUAGCAGGAACGCCUGUGGAGAAGUCGGCUUUCUGGUCCAAUCCUGACGCUGAGAGACGAAAGCUAGGGUAGCAAACAGGAUUAGAUACCCUGGUAGUCCUAGCUGUAAACGAUGAGCACUAGGUGUCUGUCCGUAAGGAUGGGUGUCGCAGCUAACGCGUUAAGUGCUCCACCUGGGGACUACGGCCGCAAGGCUAAAACUCAAAGGAAUUGACGGGGGCCCGCACAAGCGGUGGAACACGUGGUUUAAUUCGAUGCUACGCGAGGAACCUUACCAGCGUUUGACAUGCUAGAAGUAGUAUCCCGAAUGGGAGUCCGACCGGUAACCAGUCCGGUACUAGCACAGGUGCUGCACGGUUGUCGUCAGCUCGUGCCGUGAGGUGUUCUCUUAAGUGAGAGAACGAGCGCAACCCUCGCCUUUAGUUGCCACUUUUUGGUUUUUCCAAGAAAGCACUCUAAAAGUACUGCCCGCGUUAAGUGGGAGGAAGGCGGGGACGACGUCAAAUCCGCAUGGCCCUUAUAUCCUGGGCUACACACGUGUUACAAUGCCUGCGACAAUGGGAUGCCAAGCCGCAAGGUGGAGCUAAUCCCACAAACGCAGGCUCAGUUCGGAUUGAGGGCUGCAAUUCGUCCUCAUGAAGCUGGAAUCGCUAGUAAUGGCGCAUCAGCUACGGCGCCGUGAAUACGUUCCCGGGCCUUGUACACACCGCCCGUCAAGCGCUGAAAGUGGGGGGCGCCCGAAGCCCUGUUUAACAGGUUCACGGCGAAUUUCAUGAUUGGCGCUAAGUCGGAACAAGGUA
rnacentral:rRNA from 1 species